rnacentral:rRNA from 1 species
AUACGGAGGAUCCGAGCGUUAUCCGGAUUUAUUGGGUUUAAAGGGAGCGUAGGUGGAUUGUUAAGUCAGUUGUGAAAGUUUGCGGCUCAACCGUAAAAUUGCAGUUGAAACUGGCAGUCUUGAGUACAGUAGAGGUGGGCGGCAUUCGGGGUGUAGCGGGGCAAUGCUUAGAUAUCACGAAGAACUCCGAUUGCGAAGGCAUCUCACUAGACUGUUACUGACACUGAUGCUCGAAAGUGUGGGUAUCAAACAGAAUUAGAUACCCUGGUAGUCCACACAGUAAACGAUGAAUACUCGCUGUUUGCGAUAUACAGUAAGCGGCCAAGCGAAAGCAUUAAGUAUUCCACCUGGGGAGUACGCCGGCAACGGUGAAACUCAAAUGAAUUGGCGGGG